UUGUUGGUAAGGUAAAGGCUUACCAAGGCUUCGAUCAGUAGCUGGUCUGAGAGGACGGCCAGCCACACUGGGACUGAGACACGGCCCAGACUCCUACGGGAGGCAGCAGUGGGGAAUUUUGGACAAUGGGGGAAACCCUGAUCCAGCCAUGCCGCGUGAGUGAAGAAGGCCUUCGGGUUGUAAAGCUCUUUCAGCCGGAACGAAACGGUUACGGAUAAUACCCGUGACUACUGACGGUACCGGAAGAAGAAGCACCGGCUAACUACGUGCCAGCAGCCGCGGUAAUACGUAGGGUGCGAGCGUUAAUCGGAAUUACUGGGCGUAAAGCGUGCGCAGGUGGUUUUGUAAGUCAGAUGUGAAAGCCCCGGGCUCAACCUGGGAACUGCGUUUGAAACUACAGGACUAGAGUGUGGCAGAGGGGGGUGGAAUUCCGCGUGUAGCAGUGAAAUGCGUAGAGAUGUGGAGGAACACCGAUGGCGAAGGCAGCCCCCUGGGUUAACACUGACACUCAGGCACGAAAGCAUGGGGAGCAAACAGGAUUAGAUACCCUGGUAGUCCAUGCCCUAAACGAUGUCAACUAGUUGUCGGGCCUUUACGGGCUUGGUAACGUAGCUAACGCGUGAAGUUGACCGCCUGGGGAGUACGAUCGCAAGAUUAAAACUCAAAUGAAUUGACGGGGACCCGCACAAGCGGUGGAUUAUGUGGAUUAAUUCGAUGCAACGCGAAAAACCUUACCUACCCUUGACAUGUAUCGAAGCCCGCAGAAAAGCGGGGGUGCCCGAAAGGGAACGAUAACACAGGUGCUGCAUGGCUGUCGUCAGCUCGUGUCGUGAGAUGUUGGGUUAAGUCCCGCAACGAGCGCAACCCUUGUCAUUAAUUGCCAUCAUUUAGUUGGGCACUUUAAUGAGACUGCCGG
rnacentral:rRNA from 1 species